UACUAAAAUUUACCUUCUUCUUACGAAUCGAACUACUAGGUGAGCUGCUCAGUCCUACAGCUUGUGAUGAUGGGGUUGAAGGUUCUUGUAGAAGCAUAUUUGAAGCCUCCUUCACAGCAAUUUCUUUUGUCAUCGCAACAUCAGCUGUUAUGCUUUUAAAAAUGUUUUAGCUUCAUGGGACCGAUCGCACCAAAAAAUUGCACAAAUAAGUUUAUUUACAAAAUGGUGGUAGUAGGCUAAAUGUGAGUUGAGUUAUAGAUGUAAACACUGUUCAGCACGGUACCAAGCUAUUGAGAUCUUUAACAACACUGAAAAAAGCUAAUUUAUUCUUUCAAUUAUGAA